rnacentral:rRNA from 1 species
ACGGGAGGCAGCAGUGGGGAAUAUUGCACAAUGGGGGAAACCCUGAUGCAGCGACGCCGCGUGAGUGAAGAAGUAUUUCGGUAUGUAAACCUCUGUCAUCGGGGACGAUAAUGACUGUACCCGAGAAGGAAGCUCCGGCUAACUACGUGCCAGCAGCCGCGGUAAUACGUAGGGAGCGAGCGUUAUCCGGAAUUACUGGGUGUAAAGGGAGUGUAGGCGGGACUGUAAGUCAGAUGUGAAAUAUACCGGCUCAACUGGUAGACUGCAUUUGAAACUGCGGUUCUUGAGUGAAGUAGAGGUAAGCGGAAUUCCUAGUGUAGCGGUGAAAUGCGUAGAUAUUAGGAGGAACAUCAGUGGCGAAGGCGGCUUACUGGGCUUUAACUGACGCUGAGGCUCGAAAGCGUGGGGAGCAAACAGGAUUAGAUACCCUGGUA